UAAUUAACCAGUGUGAUGAGUGUAGAGGUGUGUGUAGUUAUAACUAACCAGUGUGAUGAGUGUAGAGGUGUGUGUGUGUGUGGUUAUAACUAACCAGUGUGAUGAGUGUAGAGGUGUGUGUGGUUAUAACCAGUGUGAUGAGUGUAGAGGUGUGUGUAGUUAUAACUAACCAGUGUGAUGAGUGUAAAGGUGUGUGUGUGUGUAGUUAUAACUAACCAGUGUGAUGAGUGUAGAGGUGUGUGUGGUUAUAACCAGUGUGAUGAGUGUAGAGGUGUGUGUAGUUAUAACUAACCAGUGUGAUGAGUGUAAAGGUGUGUGUGUGGUUAUAACUAACCAGUGUGAUGAGUGUAGAGGUGUGUGUAGUUAUAACUAACCAGUG